CAAAUCCAUAUAUAUGUGAUAUAAUUAUUAGUUAAAUAUAGACAUUUGUUUUCUAUGAUUAAUUAGAAUAAGUCAAAAGCGGCUUUACUUACUUUCAAACAUAUUUCAUGAAAAAGCAGGAACCUUCUUCAGGAUUGUAACGACUGUGUAGCACAUUUCUGCUACCUCGACGCUAGCACAACGCACAGCAUAGAAGAUGUUAUUAGCAUAGCAUAAAUAGCAUAGCAUAUCUUUAAGGUUCUGAACUGGUAUGGCAUAAAG